rnacentral:rRNA from 1 species
CGCGAAAACUUUACAAUGCUGGCAACAGCGAUAAGGGAACCUCGAGUGCCAGGUUACAAAUCUGGCUGUCGAGAUGCCUAAAAAGCAUUUCAUAGCAAGGGCCGGGCAAGACCGGUGCCAGCCGCCGCGGUAACACAGGCGGCUCGAGUGGUAACCGUUAUUAUUGGGUCUAAAGGGUCUGUAGUCGGCCGGAUAAGUCUCUUGAGAAAUCUGGCAGCUUAACUGUCAGGCUUUCAGGAGAUACUGUCUGGCUCGAGGCCGGGAGAGGUGAGAGGUACUUCAGGGGUAGGGGUGAAAUCUUGUAAUCCUUGAAGGACCACCAGUGGCGAAGGCGUCUCACCAGAACGGACCUGACGGCAAGGGACGAAAGCUAGGGGCACGAACCG